CCUCAUCCUUAUAUAAAUUCACCGUCUCAAUUCUGCUGCUAAACACAAAUCAAUUAGCUUCCUUGGCAGCAGCAGCCGCGUGGUUUCACACACCUAAUUCCAAAUCGUUUUUCUCUAUUCUCAUGUCUGUUUAAUUUUUCUGCAUAUGUUGAUGAUUUAGAAGUAUUCAUGGAUGCGUGCACAAUAAGCCGAUGGUCUGGAUUUGAAAAUGAAGGAAUCAUGGUUGUGUGCACGCAAAUUGAUAUCGUUAGGUCCGCAUGUCUGCUCUCUCUGAUUCCUGAAUUGAUUUGAGGGCCUGGUAACGACCUACAUUUCUUUUCCUUUUCCGUUUCUAAUUUUCCAAUUUGCCUGUGAUGUAUGAAUAUUUGUCCGUACCAUCUGAGAGUUCUUUUAGAUUUCUCUGAUUGAAACACCAAUUCUUUAAUCUGAGGCUUUUUUACCUUAACUUUUUUCUCUUUUCAUUUUGAUUUCUUAUCUAAAAUUUAGGCAACAAUUUAGAGUCUCUGAUUUGCUUUUUCUAUAGCGAUUUCAGUGCUGUACGUUGCCGAUAGUAAUUGGAACUGAAGUUUUUAUGCAUUUGUCAUCUUAGGCCUAUGCUUCCAGAUGUUCCUACAACAACAAUUUAGAGUCUCUGAUUUGCUUUUUCUAUAGCGAUUUCAGUGCUGUACGUUGCCGAUAGUAAUUGGAACUGAAGUUUUUAUGCAUUUGUCAUCUUAGGCCUAUGCUUCCAGAUGUUCCUACAUUUUUUUUAUAACAAGAUAACGGUGCUCUAUUGAGUUCAAUUUAUUUUUGUAUUAUUUUCCGUAGUUCUUUUAUUUUUUUUUGAAAUUGAUGAAAGCUUCUAUUUAUAAUCGCUAUUUGUGCUUUGAAUGCAUUUUUCAAGCAUUUGCAAUUUCAUGUUAUUGUUCGUCCAUUUCUGUGUUUAUUAAUCGGAAAUACCUAAUCUUUAAGGGCUUGAAAAGUUUAUGAUGCUGGUGUAAGUUAUGCUUAUAUUAGGUUUUGUUGAAUUACAUUAGAAUUUUAGAUACUUACUUGUGGGAGUCAUCCAUUGAAUCGUUUGAAUUUUAAUGCUGGCGUUAUUUGUGCUCUAAAUGGACAGAAUAUUGUGAGGGACCGUGACAUGUGUGCUAAAUUUUUUUGGUUAUUUUUCCCCCAAAUUUUUUUACCUUUUUAUUAUUAGAUUAGUUUUGGAGGGUUCCCUGGAAUGUGAAGUUACUACUAAGAUGAAACAACUGCGAUGAAGAACAGAGGGUUAAUAAUUGUGCCAUUAAGAAGUUGGAUUAAAUUAAAGUUGUUGCUUAAAAUGCAAUAGGUGUUAUUAUCUAUUAGGGAUAACAGCAUUGGAAAAUGAAGGAUUAAAAUAUGAAGGAGUUAUGUGUGACCGAAAAAUUAACAAAUGGAGUUUAGAGAGACUCCAACGAUUUAGAUUUUUGGCCUAUCUCUUGAUCUUUUAUUUUUUUUUGCUUUUGCGCAUGAGAUUGAAUAAUAGAGAGAUAAAGUAGUGAUAUUUGAUAUUCCAUAAUGAUUUAGUUCUUGGGCUUAUCUCUUGAUAUAGCAUUACGUUCGAUACAAAGCUAAACACCUAUAAAAUCUAUACCUAGAAAAUCUCACAAAUUUAAAUGGAAGGAAAUAAAAGACAACUUUAAGUGGGGAAAUAAAAGAGACACUUUUGAAAUCCAUUCUAUUCAAUUUAAUUUAUGAUAUUCAAACAUAUAUUAAAUUAAAAUUUAGUUUAGAUUUAUUUGAACUUGUAUUCAGUGAUUUUAGCAAAAUUAAUAAGGGACUUACCUUUUCAUAGUGUUUAGUAUUUUCUUAAGAAAAUGAUUGGAUAAAUGCUGUAUUGAUAUUUUAUGAGAUGAAAGGAGUAUUUAUAUUCACAUCUUAAUUAUGAUGUCCUUUUUAUAUUGUAAUAGUAAAAAUAAAUAUCAUGUUGUGAUUGUAAAUAAAUAUAUAUAAAAGAUAUACAAUGUAAGUGGUAUUGCUCUCUUAAAUGUUUAUAUUUAUUUGAUAAAUAGGAUAUAAUUAUUAAAUGAGUGAAUUUAUUAGGAAGUGUGUAUAUAUUAUGGUAUCUUUAAAGUUAACUUUCAUUGUAAAUUCUUAAAGUAAUUUUAUUAAUGGUUAGUUUUAUUUUGUGUUUUCGGGAUGUUACGCUUCAGUUUUGGUUGUCGUCUUUAUGUUCUCCAGGUCCACGGAGUAGAUCCAAUGGACUUAAUGCAAGAAAGUGGAAAGUUUUGACGUUAAAAAAAAGAAUUGUUUGAUACUGCCACUCGUGUCACCUGAUACGGGCCGUGUCAAAAGGAAUGCAAAGAAAGUAUAAGAAAUGCCCAAAACUGUGGUUUGAUAUGAUCGCCCGUGUCAGUUUAACAUGGUCGUGUCAGGUCACUUGGGGUGUGUUAGCAAGGAAAUAACAAAAUAAUGGUCUGACACAGCCGACACGACUGUGUCAGCCUAAAAUGUUAAUUUUCCAGUUUUCAGGCUUUUUCAAUAGAAUUUAGUUGUAGGGAGGUUUUGGAGAUUUCCACCUUCUGCCAAGAGAUUUUCAUUAUAUUAGAAUUCAGCAGACUUUAGUUGCAGGGAUGUUUUGGAGAUUUCCACUUUCCGCCAAGAGAUUUUCACUAUAUUAGAAUGUUUGAUGUGUUUAAUGCUUUCUCUUUCAUACUAAUUGUGAUGGUUAUCAAUUAGGUUGGACUGCCAUUGGUAAGGUUUUCAUAAGGUUAUUCUGCAGUAGAUAUCAUCUAGGACUAGGGAUAUCAUGUAUGAAUCGGAGCAUUAUUGAUAUAAUAAAGCUUAACUUCACCUUAAUACCCCUGAGAAAGAGUAAUUGAUAUUUCUUGAUACAAGAGUGACUCGGUGUUUUUACAUGGAUAAAUCAUACACCUGACAUUGUUUCUCUUACCUUCAAACCCUUUAUUUUUUAUCA
rnacentral:lncRNA from 1 species